GAUAGUGCUUUUACUUGUGUGUGUGUUCUACAAAUUGAAGAUUUGUGGCAACCCCGCAUUGUCCGAUGAUGGUUAGCAUUUUUUAGCAACAAAGUACUUUUAAAGGAAGUACAAGUCCGUUCCUCUGAUGGUCAGAUGUUUGUGGUUCUUUGUAUUCAGUUUGACAGGGUUCUGGCAUCCAGUCACCACGAGACUGUAUAAGACUUCCAACCCCUCUUCUGCCAUUUUCUCUAUACAAUCCAGAAAGGGUACUUGCCUAGCCUAGCAGUUUGUUUUUAAAUGUUUUUUUCCUGAUUUCAGUCACUACUGUCUUGAGUGUUAACUGAACUCUCCUCAUGCCUGCAAAGACUCCCAUCUAAGCCAGGCCUGCUCUUCCAAACAAUAUAUCCAGACUCAGGAGUCUACCCUGAGUAUAAAAAAGGUAUAAAAAAGGACCAAGGCGCUCUGCUCCCUCGGAAGGGCUUAUUUCUCCCUGGAAGUCAGUUCAUGAAGAAGACUCUGCGUCCACUGUUCUUUGCUAGUUUCAUAGAAAAGUAUUAUUUUUCUUUUGUCUGGAUUUUUCUUAUUACUAUGGAAGUGAAAGUCUUGCAUCUUUCUACAUUCUAGCAAAAGAAGUUGUGCAGAUAUUUAUUACAAGUCAUGUAAAGUCCACUUGCAGCUUUAUGGCUUCCAUUCGCAGUUGUGGGACUCUUACUAACAGUGUGGUGGAGAGCAUACACAUAGUGUAGCCUUGGGCAAAGUCUCUUUACAUUUGUGGGCAUCUGUUCCCUUAUCUGUAAAUGGAAAUCAUAAUGGAUACCUUCUGUGGUGGUUUUAGGCAUCAAAUGAAAACGCUUUGGGAACUAGAAAGUGAAUAUGCCUGUAGGUUGUCGUGUCCUUAGGGAAGUCAUCUCACGUUUCCGGGCCUCCAUUUCCUUAUCUGUUCAAUAAUGGAGAUGCUGAAAUAGAUGUGCUGUAAGUUCCCACUCCAGUUUUCACUGAACAGCACACUGAUGCACCAGUGCCCAUGUUGAUAGACAUUUUGGGCACUUAGCAAUACUGACUUGAUAAUCGGAACUUUAAACUGGCUACUUUGUUAGCUACUGACAGGUGUCAGCCUUGUAAAUAGACUUGUUAAAUUAUAAAACAUGGCAUUAGGUAGACAGGUCAUAGACACUUCCAUGUAUUUGGUGUUUCUGCUUAUUAAACGUGUUUCUUUGACUCUUUUGAAGCUGUAAGCUCUUCCUUGGUUGUUUACUUUGAAUAUCCAAAGAUCUGGUACUUUAUAUAAUUUUUUUAAUAUAAUUUGAGGAUAAGAUGUGAGGUACAACCUCUUUAGUAGUUGAUGGAAUUAUCCUCUAUAAAUGUAGGUUCUUCUCAGUGAAUACAUUCAUAGAGGCUGUUCUUUUAACUAGCUUAAAAGACCAGAUCGGUAUUGGAGUUAUUUACUUGAGAGAAGGAAAUGGCAACCCACUCCAAUGUUCUUGCCUGGAGAAUCCCAUGGACAGAGAAGCCUGGUGGGCUGCAGUCCAUGGGGUCGCACAGAGUCGGACACGACUGAAGCGACUUAGCAGCAGCAGCAGCAGGCCAUUAUUGGGGCUACCCUCAUGGCUCAGAUGGUAAAAAAUCUGCCUGCAAUGCAGGAAACCUAGGUUCAAUCCCUGGGUCUGGAGGAGAAAUGGCAAAUCACUCCAGUAUUCUUGCCUGGAAAAUUCCUUGGACAGAGGAGCCUGGAGGUCCACAAUCCAUGGGCUGCAGAGAGAAGUGACUGAGCACAGACACACAGACCAUUAUUAUUUGAACUGAUCUGAACUGUACUUUUCAACUGUUUAUGGAAAGCAGGUUUAUGCAAUAAAUCAAGGUUUUUCUUUACCUCCCAUAAAGUGUAUAAUAUGUUUUAUGGCAUAUAAGAACUUUCACAAAAGUUAUUUAGUAAAAUAAGUGCGGAGCAGGUUUGAGUUUCUGAAACAAGCCAACCAUAUGGAAGAACUUUACCAAAUAAAGUCUGUAUUACUGAUGGCAGCAAUUACAAAUACAUGUUAUGACAUUUAAAAAGCUGUGCCCAUUUGUGGCUUAUGUAUUUGAGCGUAAUAAAAUUGUAUUAUUUUUUAAAAAACAUUCUGUAAUUUAGAUUUCUAAUUGAAAGUGGUCUUCCCUACAGUUAAUCCAAAUUAGUAAAUCUAUGGAAACGGUAAUAGCUUGGCAAGGAGGGGUGAGUACCUCAGUAACAAAAGAUAAGGCAUCGAAAAACCAUUUAAUAGAAGACUCACCUGUAAAAGAUUUGUUUCUCAGUUUGUCAAGACUUCUUUGCAUUAUCACUCUUGCCUAGCUCCAUAAAAAAAGUAUUUAUUUUGUCUGGGUUUUUUUUUUAUCAAAUAAAAAUGUCCAAACUCU
rnacentral:lncRNA from 1 species